UUUACUACGUAUUUAUUCAUUUCCUCCGAUCUAGCUUAUUUAAAAGCUGUUAAGAACUUUCAGUGUUAAGGGAUUUGCGUGUUGCUUUCUAAACUAUAUUCAUUUUUUUUAACCGUUAGCUGAGGACAUCUGCUGUGCAAUAACAAAACUAACAGGUAAAGAUUUAGUACUUUAAGUACGUCAUGCGAAAGGGGAAUGCUUAAAAAUUUAAGCGUCUGCUAUUACAAAAGAAACGUGUAAAGCUGUUUCGUGAAGGGUAACGUUUAAAUUCAAAGUUAAACUUCUGCGUUCCCGGGCACAGCUCUGGACAAGCAUGUUCCCGUUAGACUCGCCCUGGAGCAUCUCCUUCGCAGGCUGCGGCUUCCUGGGGAUCUACCACAUCGGUGUGGCCAGCUGUCUGCUGGAGCAGGCUCCUUUCCUGGUGCAGAACGCCAGACACAUCUACGGAGCCUCUGCUGGGGCCCUCACCGCCACUGCCUUGGUCACUGGAGUGUGUCUUGGAGAUGCUGGGGCGAGCAUAAUUGAAGUCGCCAAAGAGGCAAGGAAGCGGCUCCUUGGACCCAUGCAUCCCACCUUUAACCUGGUGAAGAUUGUACGUCAGGUCCUGAGGCGCACUCUGCCCGCCGACAGCCCCCACCGAGCCAACGGGCGACUGGGAAUCUCUCUGACCCGGGUGGCAGAUGGAGAAAACGUCCUGGUGUCUCACUUCAACAAUAAGGAGGAGCUGAUUCAGGCAUGUGUCUGCAGUGCCUACAUCCCCGUGUAUUGUGGCCUCAUUCCUCCCACACUUCAAGGAGUGCGAUAUGUUGACGGGGGAAUCUCCGACAACCUGCCGCAGUAUGAGCUGAAGAACACCAUCACCGUCUCCCCCUUUUCCGGAGAGAGCGACAUCUGCCCUCGAGACACUUCCACCAACAUCCACGAGCUGCGUUUCACCAACACAAGCAUCCAGUUCACCCUCACCAACCUAUACAGAGUCUCUAGGGCGCUUUUCCCACCAAAUCCAAUGGUCAUGAAGGGAAUGUGCAAGCAGGGAUACAAAGACGCUCUGCACUUUUUAAAGAGAAACGGAUUGCUUAGUUACACUGGGCCUCAAACAGACAGACCUUUGCUGGCCAACAGAGAAGAACAUAAGGCUUGUGAUGAAGAGAGGGCUGAGAAAAACAACAAGGCAGAAGAGAAGCCACAGGUGGAGGCAAAAGUUGAGCUUCAUGCCAGCUCCUCACUAGACGAGCAUAUCAUCGAGUACCUUCCACCUGCCGUGCACAAAGCUCUACUGGAGGCCUGCCUGGAGAGGAGGAGCCUGGUGCAGUCUCUGGGCAACCUGCUCCCUUUCAGGAUGGCAUCAGCCCUGAUGCUCCCCUACACUCUGCCUCUGGAGUCUGCCGUGUCCUUGACUCUCAGGCUUCUGGAGUGGCUUCCAGAUGUGCAGGAGGAUGUGGGCUGGAUCCGAGAGCAGAUAGUGAAAAUCCUGCAGCGUCUUCUGCAUCAGGCUUCCAGAAACUUCUCGCAGCACGUGUCUGCCAGGCUGUUCUGCCACCUGGAGCUGCACCAUUACAGGUACCUCCCAUCCAAGCCCAGCUCCAGCAACCUCUUUCCUGCCUGGAUGAACAGCAGCGGCUCUUCAAUGCAGGACGUGUUCGACCGGUACAAGAACCGGUUGCUGUCUGGGGUUCUCUGCAUCGACAUGGACCUGCAAGGCUCCUUCAAAACCGGUCGGAUCCCACCAGAGACCAGCCGCGUGGCCAGCUUUUUCCAGCAAGACUUUGCAGAAUGCAAAGGUUAUUUUAAUAAUCCUCAAGGUGGCAAACCUGCUAAACCUCUGAGCAGAUCUAAGAGCUUUUGGUAGGCUUCAGCUGUGAUCACAAUCCUGAUCCAGGAAGAGUGAAAAGCAAAACUAGGGCUAAACACUAAGAUAUGUUAAAGUGGCGAUGUUGAUAUUGCAUUUGAAAUGCAGUCAGCUGCUUUGUGUAAGUACUUUGGAAAAGAAUUCAUACAUCCCUUAAGUUUACACCAACACAAAGUGCAUACCUGUGAAAUGGAAGAAAAAUGAAUGUUUUUCACUUUUUAUCUCCAAUCAAAAAUACGAGAAUAGCAUGUGUUUGUAGUCAGCCCUGCUGGAGCCACGUCUCACUGUAUCGUUAGAUAUUGAGAGACUGACAUUUUCACCCAUUCGUCAACCUCAGUCAGAAUGAAUGGAAAGGGAACGUGAAAAGCAAGUCUUCCCUCAACUUCCCAACCAAAUUUAGGCCUGGACUUUGACUGGGCCUUUCCAAUACAUAAAUAUGUUCCAGUUUCAGGUCUAACACAUCCUCUAACAUGUUUUCUUCAAGGAUAGCCCAGUUUUACAACUUAUGACCUGCUUUCUUAUCCUGGUGGAAUAGAAGCAUCUCCACAUCCUGUUACUGCAAUGUUUCACUGUCUGGAUGAUGUGUUCAGGGUUAUUGGCAGUGUUAGUUCUCUGCCACACAGUGUUUUUUGUUGUUGUUUUGUUUUUGUUUUUUUCUUUCCAAAUGCAUGCGGCAUGCCACACUUUUCAGAUAUUUAAUUGUAAAUAAUCUCAAAAGCCAUGCAUCCAUUUUCUUUCACUUAUGGAAGACUGUUUCAUUUUCUACUUAAAAUUCCAAAAACUACAGCGAGGUGUAAGGCGUGGCAAAAAUCUACAAAACUUCAAGAACCAUAAAUAGUUUUUUAAAGCACAGGCACGCUUACAGGGUGUUCGACGAUUUUGGACCGAUGCCUGAGUCAGAAAUAAGCCAUUAGAUUCAGGCAUUCAUGGAGUAUUACAUCAAUGGAAGCACACUUAAAAUUUGCACAGUUAGUCAGUCAUGCACAAACUUGAAUUACAGGAUGUUACAAAGAUUUAGCACAGUAAAAAAAAAAAAAAAUGUGUUGAUGGUUUUAGUGGAAGGCAGUCAGCCACAAAGUGAAGCAGCAUUUUCCUGCCUGCAAUUACUUUUGGCUCACAGGAAGCACUGGAGAUAACGGAAAACAUUAGAGUUGGUUUGUUAGAAGCAGUUACUCCAUUUGUGUGAUGCAAUUUCCAAUGCACUAUGUUUAAAGAAAGCUUACUUUGUUUUUUAUAAAUGUACUAAUGUAAAUGGCUAAAACAAAUUGAUGUGUAUGCAGUACAUGAACGUACUGUAGUGGUCAUGUAUAUUUCCAAUCAUACUUUUUGUGAUUUUUUAUUGUUCUUUUUUUUCACUGCUUCUUACUUUAGUUAAUUAUUUUAAAAUAUGUUUUGUAUUUUGUUCAGUGUCAAUCAUUUGUUUCUGUACUUCUCAUAUUCUACUUAUUAAGUAACCAAGCUCUUUAAGUACUCUUCAUGUACAGUGUGUUUCGUUUUAAUCGAGCUAUAAGAACAUUUGAUUUGCUAAAAGCUUAUAUGUUUUUUUCCAACUCAAUGUAAUGUGCUGAAUUUGUCACCAGGUGUCAUCAUGUUUAGAGUUUGUGAUCAUAAAAUAAACUGGUAAUCCCCAUGAUAA